AUGGCGUGCUACCCAUGCAACCCCUACCCCCACCUCCCACCCGGCAGUACCAUUGUUGCUCCUGGCCCUCUGCGCGAGCAACAAGGAUACGCCGUUGUCGGAGGAGAACUCCCCAUGGUCUGUGACGAGUGGGCCAUCGCCCCGCUGGUACCUGGCAUCGCCCCGGAGGAGUUUCAUGGUGCUAACAACAUGAUCACAAACUUCUUGGAGAACAGAGGAUGGAGAAUAAACUACUCUUCGCGCUGUGGUAUGGGAUCUGCACUUAUCCAGUUUACUAAUGCAUGCUCUCGCGACUCUGCUAUUGCAAACAGCCCAUAUCAGAUUGGAGACUCUGUUCUUAGGAUCACUAGACAAGAUCGAGGACUAAACUAUCGUAGUAUUACUUUUACUCAUGAUGUCUGGUUGCUGUUGAUGAACUAUCCGCUCGAGUGCUGGGAUGUAAAUGUUAUUAGCCGUACUGUUGCGCCCUAUGGUAGAUUUCUGAUUUGGAACAAAGAUCCCAGAGACAAAACCAGAAUCAUUGUGAAAGUUAGAGUCUUUAACCCUGACACCCUACCUCUGAGCAUUGUGGUGCUGCAUAAUCUUGAUGAUAUUGGCUAUGGUGACUCAUGGACAUGUCCAACAUACAUUAUGUCCAGAGAAAUCAUUGGGCAGCAGGGAGGGGAUGAAGAUCCUCUGCCUCCGGAUGGAGGAAACCCACACCCUCUACCCCAUGUACAUGGUGGUUUUUGGCAUGAUGAGAUCAUUGGCAACAUUCCAAUGGAGCAAGUGGUUGUUAAUCCUCACAAUGAAAACCUGGGAGCCCCAUAUGAAGAUGUUCAUGUUGCUAAGGGCUAUUUCAAUGUGGGAGAUAUUCAGGAACAAUUUCAGGUGGCUAUUAAUGAAAAUCUACCUGACAAUGCUCAAACUAUUGUCAAUGAGGCUCCCCAUAAUGCUGGAUAA
rnacentral:rRNA from 1 species